GCACCGGCUAACUACGUGCCAGCAGCCGCGGUAAUACGUAGGGUGCGAGCGUUAUCCGGAAUUAUCGGGCGUAAAGAGCUCGUAGGCGGUUUGUCGCGUCUGUCGUGAAAGUCCGGGGCUUAACCCCAGGAUCUGCGGUGGGUACGGGCAGACUAGAGUGCAGUAGGGGGAGACUGGAAUUCCUGGUGUAGCGGUGGAAUGCGCAGAUAUCAGGAGGAACACCGAUGGCGAAGGCAGGUCUCUGGGCUGUAACUGACGCUGAGGAGCGAAAGCAUGGGGAGCGAACAGGAUUAGAUACCCUGGUAGUCCAUGCCGUAAACGUUGGGCACUAGGUGUGGGGACCAUUCCACGGUUUCCGCGCCGCAGCUAACGCAUUAAGUGCCCCGCCUGGGGAGUACGGCCGCAAGGCUAAAACUCAAAGGAAUUGACGGGGGCCCGCACAAGCGGCGGAGCAUGCGGAUUAAUUCGAUGCAACGCGAAGAACCUUACCAAGGCUUGACAUGUUCUCGAUCGCCGUAGAGAUACGGUUUCCCCUUUGGGGCGGGUUCACAGGUGGUGCAUGGUUGUCGUCAGCUCGUGUCGUGAGAUGUUGGGUUAAGUCCCGCAACGAGCGCAACCCUCGUUCCAUGUUGCCAGCACGUAGUGGUGGGGACUCAUGGGAGACUGCCGGGGUCAACUCGGAGGAAGGUGAGGACGACGUCAAAUCAUCAUGCCCCUUAUGUCUUGGGCUUCACGCAUGCUACAAUGGCCGGUACAAUGGGUUGCGAUACUGUGAGGUGGAGCUAAUCCCAAAAAGCCGGUCUCAGUUCGGAUUGGGGUCUGCAACUCGACCCCAUGAAGUCGGAGUCGCUAGUAAUCGCAGAUCAGCAACGCUGCGGUGAAUACGUUCCCGGGCCUUGUACACACCGCCCGUCAAGUCACGAAAGUCGGUAACACCCGAAGCCGGUG
rnacentral:rRNA from 1 species